rnacentral:rRNA from 1 species
AGAUUGAACGCUGGCGGCAUGCCUUACACAUGCAAGUCGAACGGCAGCACGGGAGCAAUCCUGGUGGCGAGUGGCGAACGGGUGAGUAAUAUAUCGGAACGUGCCCAGUCGUGGGGGAUAACGCAGCGAAAGCUGUGCUAAUACCGCAUACGAUCUAUGGAUGAAAGCGGGGGAUCGCAAGACCUCGCGCGAUUGGAGCGGCCGAUAUCAGAUUAGCUAGUUGGUGAGGUAAAGGCUCACCAAGGCGACGAUCUGUAGCUGGUUUGAGAGGACGACCAGCCACACUGGGACUGAGACACGGCCCAGACUCCUACGGGA